rnacentral:lncRNA from 1 species
GUUUGGUUGAAGAUGGUUUGAAUCACAUAUAGUGGUGGUAGUACAUGAUAAUGCCACCUAUUUACUUUGUGAAUUGAAUAGUAUGAUGUUGAGUAUACAUAUAGCAAGAAAGUAGAUCAAGGCAUUCAAGAGAAGAAAUAGUAGAUUUAUUCCAAAUAAUCUUUUAAAUUUUGAAACAUUAGAUCUAAAAAAAAUAGAAGAUACAAAAAGAUAAGUUAAUGGAAGACUUCAUUUCUAUUGGUUGAAGGUCAUAUCCAAUGGACUUCAAGAUGUUAUCUAAGACCAUAUUAAAAUUUGAAGCCUUUUUAGGAUAGGCAUUUAAAGUUUAAAAAUUAAGAUUUAUUAGUUUGUAUUGAGAGCUAUAAUUUUUGUAUAAAAAUCAAGGAAUUUGAAGCUUAUAUGAAGAAGAAGUGGACACUUGAAAUUAAGGUCUU